GACGAACGCUGGCGGCGUGCUUAACACAUGCAAGUCGAGCGGAAAGGCUCCUUCGGGGGUACUCGAGCGGCGAACGGGUGAGUAACACGUGAGUAAUCUGCCCUGUGCUCUGGGAUAGCCACCGGAAACGGUGAUUAAUACCGGAUAUGACCAGCUACUGCAUGGUGGUUGGUGGAAAGUUUUUCGGCACAGGAUGUGCUCGCGGCCUAUCAGCUUGUUGGUGAGGUAAUGGCUCACCAAGGCUUUGACGGGUAGCCGGCCUGAGAGGGUGACCGGUCACACUGGGACUGAGACACGGCCCAGACUCCUACGGGAGGCAGCAGUGGGGAAUAUUGGACAAUGGGCGGAAGCCUGAUCCAGCAACGCCGCGUGAGGGAUGACGGCCUUCGGGUUGUAAACCUCUUUCAGUACCGACGAAGCGAAAGUGACGGUAGGUACAGAAGAAGGACCGGCCAACUACGUGCCAGCAGCCGCGGUAAAAC
rnacentral:rRNA from 1 species